rnacentral:tRNA from 1 species
GCUCAGUUGGUAAAGCACAAGGCUUUUAACCUUGUGGACGUGGGUUCAAGCCCCAU